rnacentral:rRNA from 1 species
UACAGAGGGGCAAGCGUUAUUCGGAAUUAUUGGGCGUAAAGGGCGCGAUAGGCGGCUUUCAAGUGACGGGUGAAAUCCCUCGGCUUAACCGGAGGAACUGCCUGUCAGACUGGAAGGCUUGAGACCGGGAGAGGUGAGUGGGAAUUCCCGAGUGUAGGCGGUGAAAUGCGUAGAUAUUCGGAAGAACACCAGUGGCGAAGGCGGCUCACGUG